rnacentral:rRNA from 1 species
AUUGAACGCUGGCGGCAUGCCUUACACAUGCAAGUCGAACGGUAACAGGUCUUCGGAUGCUGACGAGUGGCGAACGGGUGAGUAAUACAUCGGAACGUGCCUAGUAGUGGGGGAUAACUACUCGAAAGAGUGGCUAAUACCGCAUGAGAUCUACGGAUGAAAGCAGGGGAUCGAAAGACCUUGUGCUACUAGAGCGGCCGGUGGCAGAUUAGGUAGUUGGUGGGAUAAAAGCUUACCAAGCCGACGAUCUGUAGCUGGUCUGAGAGGACGAUCAGCCACACUGGGACUGAGACACGGCCCAGACUCCUACGGGAGGCAGCAGUGGGGAAUUUUGGACGAUGGGCGAAAGCCUGAUCCAGCAAUGCCGCGUGCAGGAUGAAGGCCUUCGGGUUGUAAACUGCUUUUGUACGGAACGAAAAGCCCUGGGUUAAUACCCUGGGGUCAUGACGGUACCGUAAGAAUAAGCACCGGCUAACUACGUGCCAGCCGCCGCCGUAAUAC